rnacentral:rRNA from 1 species
AGCGAACGCUGGCGGCAGGCUUAACACAUGCAAGUCGAGCGGGCCCUUCGGGGUCAGCGGCGGACGGGUGAGUAACGCGUGGGAACGUGCCUUCUGGUUCGGAAUAACCCUGGGAAACUAGGCCUAAUACCGGAUACGCCCUAUUGGGGAAAGGUUUACUGCCGGAAGAUCGGCCCGCGGCUGAUUUGCCAGGUGGAGGGGUAACGGCCUACCAAGGCGACGAUCAGUAGCUGGUCUGAGAGGAUGAUCAGCCACGCUGGGACUGAGACACGGCACAGACUCCUACGGGAGGCAGCAGUGGGGAAUAUUGGACAAUGGGCGCAAGCCUGAUCCAGCCAUGCCGCGUGAGUGAUGAGGGCCUUAGGGUUGUAAAGCUCUUUUAUCCUGGACGAUAAUGACGGUACCGGAGGAAGAAGCCCCGGCUAACUUCGUGCCAGCCGCCGCGGUAAAAC